rnacentral:rRNA from 1 species
GACGAACGCUGGCGGCGUGCUUAACACAUGCAAGUCGAGCAGUAAGGCCCCUUCGGGGGUACGCGAGCGGCGAACGGGUGAGUAACACGUGAGCAAUCUGCCCAUCACAUCGGGAUAACUCCGGGAAACCGAAGCUAAUACCGAAUACGACCACCUCCGGCAUCGGAUGGUGGUGGAAAGUUCCGGCGGUGAUGGAUGAGCUCGCGGCCUAUCAGCUUGUUGGUGGGGUAACGGCCCACCAAGGCUUCGACGGGUAGCCGGCCUGAGAGGGUGACCGGCCACACUGGGACUGAGACACGGCCCAGACUCCUACGGGAGGCAGCAGUGGGGAAUAUUGGACAAUGGGCGAAAGCCUGAUCCAGCAACGCCGCGUGAGGGAUGACGGCCUUCGGGUUGUAAACCUCUUUCAGCAGGGACGAAGCGCAAGUGACGGUACCUGCAGAAGAAGCACCGGCCAACUACGUG